CCUACGGGAGGCAGCAGUGAGGAAUAUUGGUCAAUGGGCGCGAGCCUGAACCAGCCAAGUCGCGUGAGGGAAGAUGGUCCUAUGGAUUGUAAACCUCUUUUGUCGGGGAGCAAAAGACGCCACGCGUGGCGUUCCGAGAGUACCCGAAGAAAAAGCAUCGGCUAACUCCGUGCCAGCAGCCGCGGUAAUACGGAGGAUGCGAGCGUUAUCCGGAUUUAUUGGGUUUAAAGGGUGCGCAGGCGGAAGAUCAAGUCAGCGGUAAAAUUGAGAGGCUCAACCUCUUCGAGCCGUUGAAACUGGUUGUCUUGAGUGAGCGAGAGGUAUGCGGAAUGCGUGGUGUAGCGGUGAAAUGCAUAGAUAUCACGCAGAACUCCGAUUGCGAAGGCAGCAUACCGGCGCGCAACUGACGCUCAUGCACGAAAGUGUGGGUAUCGAACAGGAUUAGAUACCCUGGUAGUC
rnacentral:rRNA from 1 species